CUCUAGCCCUGGAGCGGGAAGGGCUGAGCUGCCUGGGAGCAAGGUGGGACACUGGCCAUGGAGUGCUCCAGAGGCUGUCUACGGGACUAUACUGGUGGUGUAAAAUAACCUCCCUGCUGGUACUCGAGAUUUCCCCCUGCAUCUCUUGUUUUCUGUUUUGGUUUUCUGUCUUUAACAAAGAUGGGACAUGGACCCCGUUCUUCUACAAAGAAUGUUUAAGUACCUAUAAAAGUGACAUAAAAGUCCCCAUCUCGUUCACUGUUGGGAAUGGCGAGUAUCUGAGGAUCAACAUCACACGAUGCAACGACGCAGAUAACUGUAACUCGGCUGUACUUGGAGGUCCAUCUUCUUUGCCAUUUGAAGCGAAAGGCUGCGCUACUGCGUCUGCUCAGGACAUUAAACCUGGAACCCUCCUGGCGUCAGGACCCUACAUAUACCUCUGUUCACGGGCAACCGACGCUCCGGCGGAGAAAACACCCACCAGCCCUGCUCCCAGCGGAGCCAGC